AAACCAACCGGGAUUGCCUUAGUAACGGCGAGUGAAGCGGCAAAAGCUCAAAUUUGAAAUCUGGCACCUUCGGUGUCCGAGUUGUAAUUUGAAGAAGUAACUUUGGGUCUAGUCCUUGUCUAUGUUCCUUGGAACAGGACGUCAUGGAGGGUGAGAAUCCCGUAUGGCGAGGAAUCUAGUCCUAUGUAAAGUGCUUUCGACGAGUCGAGUUGUUUGGGAAUGCAGCUCUAAGUGGGUGGUAAAUUCCAUCUAAAGCUAAAUAUUGGCGAGAGACCGAUAGCGAACAAGUACAGUGAUGGAAAGAUGAAAAGAACUUUGAAAAGAGAGUGAAAAAGUACGUGAAAUUGUUGAAAGGGAAGGGCAUUUGAUCAGACAUGGUGUUUUGCGACCCUCGCUCCUUGUGGGUGGGGUCAUCGCAGCUCACUGGGCCAACAUCAGUUUUGGCGGCAGGAUAAAUCCUUGGGAAUGUAGCUAUUCUUCGGAUUAGCAUUAUAGCCCAGGGGAAUACUGCCAGCCGGGACUGAGGACUGCGACUUUUGUCAAGGAUGUUGGCAUAAUGGUUAUAUGCCGCCCGUCUUGA
rnacentral:rRNA from 1 species